AUAGAUUUUAUUUAUUAAUUUUGUAAAAAAAAAAUAAAUUUUAUUAAAAAUAAUUAUAAAUAAUAUAAGUUUUAGUAUUGUUUAAAGAAAAAAUAAAAUUAAUUAUAGUUUAUUAGUAUUGUAAAAGAAAAUUGAAAUAAUUUGAAAAAUCAUUAUAUUAAAAGAAAAUUUAAUUUAUUGUACCUUGUGUAUCAGCGUUUGUUAAAUAAAAUUUAUUUAUAUAAUUUUCUCGAUUUUAAAAGAGUUAAUGUAAUAUUUAAGUUAUUGUAAUAAAAUUAUUUAAAAUAUUAUGUUAGAAAUGAAAUGUUAUUCGUUUUUAAAGGUAUCUAGUUUUUUAAGAAAUGAAUUUAAUUCAGAAAUUGUAAAUUUAUUGAAAAAUUUUUUUAAUUCAAUAAUUUUUAAUUUUAAUAUUUUAUGGGAUAAGCUGUAAAAUAAAAUUUUAAAAAUAAUAAAUAAGUUUAAUAAAUAUAUGCUUAGAAUUAGCAAUUGUUUUUAAUUAUGUUAUAAUUUAUUUUAUAAAUCAAAUUAUUUAUUAAAUUUUAAUUUUUUAUUAAAAUUUAAAUUUAAAUUAGUAAAAUUUAGUAAUAAUGACAAAAUUAGUAUAAAGAUUUGUAAAAAUAAAUUUUUUUGAAAAGUUAAAAUAAAG
rnacentral:rRNA from 1 species